CCAGACUCCUACGGGAGGCAGCAGUGGGGAAUAUUGCGCAGUGGGCGAAAGCCUGACGCAGCGACGCCGCGUGAGGGAUGAAGGUCUUCGGAUCGUAAACCUCUGUCAGCAGGGAAGAACGGUCACUGUGCUAAUCAGCAGUGAAUUGACGGUACCCGACCAAGAAGCCCCGGCUAACUACGUGCCAGCAGCCGCGGUAAUACGUAGGGGGCGAGCGUUAUCCGGAAUUACUGGGUGUAAAGGGAGCGUAGACGGCGAGGUAAGCCUGAAGUGGAAGCCCGCGGCCCAACCGCGGAACUGCUUUGGGAACUGUUUUGCUGGAGUAUGGGAGGGGGAAGCGGAAUUCCUGGUGUAGCGGUGAAAUGCGUAGAUAUCAGGAGGAACACCGGUGGCGAAGGCGGCUUACUGGACCAUAACUGACGUUGAGGCUCGAAAGCGUGGGGAGCGAACAGGAUUAGAUACCCCGGUACGC
rnacentral:rRNA from 1 species